GUGCUGAUGAGCAGGAUGAAAGUAACCACUAUAAAUAGUUACCUUUGAUGCCUCACGAAUGUGGGACAUCAAACCAUUGCCAGAGUGCUCAAACUGCAAGCAGUGAGCAUGCGCACAAUGCGUAAGCAGCAAUGGCUCAUCCUGUAGAGUGCUCAAUAUGACACAAAGGCCAUAGAGCAAUAUCUAACUACAGACGGUACCGUUUCGGC